GUGAUUAAUUUAACGGCCGCGGUACUCUAACCGCGCAAAGGUAGCAUAAUUAAUUGUCCUCUAAAUAAGGACUAGUAUGAAUGGCGCCACGAGGGUUUAACUGUCUCCCCACUUUAAUCAAUGAAAUUAAUCUUCCCGUGAAAAAGCGGAAAUAUAAUUAUAAGACGAAAAGACCCCAUGGAGCUUUAAACUUAUUAUCACUUAUCAUAACUUUAUAACAACUCACAUGAUAAAGAUGCUCUUAAAUAGUUUUCGGUUGGGGCGACCCUGGAGAAAAAUAAAUCCUCCAGAUUGAAAGCAAUAACCCUUACACAAGAACUAC
rnacentral:rRNA from 1 species